rnacentral:rRNA from 1 species
CAGCAGCCGCGGUAAUACGAACCGUGCAAACGUUAUUCGGAAUCACUGGGCAUAAAGGGCGCGUAGGCGGCUCCAAAAGUCAGGGGUGAAAUCCGGCAGCUUAACUGUCGCAGUGCCUUUGAUACUGUGGAGCUAGAGGGAGGUAGGGGUCUGUGGAACUUCCGGUGGAGCGGUGAAAUGCGUUGAUAUCGGAAGGAACGCCGGUGGCGAAAGCGACGGACUGGAUCUCUUCUGACGCUGAGGCGCGAAAGCCAGGGGAGCAAACGGGAUUAGAUACCCCGGUAGUCCUGGCCCUAAACGAUGGGUACUAGAUUGCGGACUUACAUGGGUUCGCAGUCGAAGCUAAUGUUUUAAGUACCCCGCCUGGGGAGUAUGGUCGCAAGGCUGAAACUCAAAGGAAUUGACGG